rnacentral:rRNA from 1 species
GACGAACGCUGGCGGCGUGCCUAAUACAUGCAAGUCGAACGAGAGCGCCCGGUGCUUGCACUGGUCAAUCUAGUGGCGAACGGGUGAGUAACACGUGGGUAACCUGCCCAUCAGAGGGGGAUAACAUCCGGAAACGGAUGCUAAAACCGCAUAGGUCUUCGAACCGCAUGGUUUGAAGAGGAAAAGAGGCGCAAGCUUCUGCUGAUGGAUGGACCCGCGGUGCAUUAGCUAGUUGGUGAGGUAACGGCUCACCAAGGCCGGGAUGCAUAGCCGACCUGAGAGGGUGAUCGGCCACAUUGGGACUGGGACACGGCCCAAACUCCUACGGGAGGCAGCAGUAGGGAAUCUUCCGCAAUGGACGCAAGUCUGACGGAGCAACGCCGCGUGAGUGAAGAAGGUUUUCGGAUCGUAAAACUCUGUUGUUAGAGAAGAACAAGUGCUAGAGUAACUGUUAGCGCCUUGACGGUAUCUAACCAGAAAGCCACGGCUAACUACGUG